rnacentral:rRNA from 1 species
UACGUAGGUGGCAAGCGUUGUCCGGAUUUACUGGGCGUAAAGAGCGCGCAGGCGGCCGAGUAAGUCGAAUGUGAAAGCCCCCGGCUCAACUGGGGAACGUCAUUCGAUACUGUUCGGCUCGAAGACAGGAGAGGGAAGCGGAAUUUCAGGUGUAGUGGUGAAAUGCGUAGAUAUCUGAAGGAACACCAGUGGCGAAGGCGGCUUUCUGGCCUAUUCUUGACGCUGAGGCGCGAAAGCUAGGGGAGCGAACGGG